UUAAAAUGUAAAAUAUUUUGCUAGAGUAGUAAUAGAUAUGUUCUUGAAACUUAAAAAAUUUGGCGGUAUUUUAGUCUAUUCAGAGGAAUUUGUUUUAUAAUCGAUAAUCCACGAUGGACCUAACUUAAUUUUGUUUUUCAAUUUGUAUACCGCCGUUAUUAGAAUAUUUUAUAAGAAUAAUAAUUUUCAAUAAUUUUUAUUAAAAUUUAUAUCAGGUCAAGGUGCAGUUUAUAAUUAAGAAAAUAAUGAGUUACAAUAAAAUUAUUUAAGCGGAUUUAGUAUUGAAAAUAUAUUAAUAAAGAUGGAUUUGAAAGUAAAAAUUUAAAGAUUAAAAUUUUGAUUUUAGCUCUAAAAUAUGU
rnacentral:rRNA from 1 species